rnacentral:rRNA from 1 species
AGAGUUUGAUCCUGGCUCAGAACGAACGCUGGCGGCGCGUCUUAACCAUGCAAGUCGAGCGGCAGGCAGCAAUGCCGAGAGCGGCGGACUGGUGAGUAACACGUGGAUAACGUACCCCGAUGCCCGGGACAGCCUGUAGAAAUAGAGGGUGAUACCGGAUAGAUCACUGUAUACGGAAGGUAGACAGCGGGAAAGGAGCUUCGGCUCCGCGCCGGGAACGGUCUGCGGCCCAUCAGCUGGACGGCGGGGUAACGGCCCGCCGUGGCGAGGACGGGUAUCCGGCCUGAGAGGGCGGACGGACACAUUGGGACUGAGAUACGGCCCAGACUCCUACGGGAGGCAGCAGGUAAGAAUAUUCCGCAAUGGGGGAAACCCUGACGGAGCGACGCCGCGUGAACGAAGAAGGCCGGAAGGUUGUAAAGUUCUUUUCUGUCCGAGGAAUAAGUGUAGGAGGAAAUGCCUGCAUGGUGACGGUAGGGCAGGAAUAAGCACCGGCUAAUUACGUGCCAGCAGCCGCGGUAACACGUAAGGUGCGAGCGUUGUUCGGAAUUAUUGGGCGUAAAGGGCAUGCAGGCGGGUCGCCAAGCUUGGUAAGAAAUACCGGGGCUCAACUCCGGAGCUAUAUUGAGAACUGGCGAGCUAGAGUUGCCGAAGGGUAUCCGGAAUUCCGCGUGAAGGGGUGAAAUCUGUAGAUAUGCGGAAGAACACCGAUGGCGAAGGCAGGAUACCGGCGGACGACUGACGCUGAGGUGCGAAGGUGCGGGGAGCAAACAGGAUUAGAUACCCUGGUAGUCCGCACAGUCAACGAUGUACACUGGGCGUGUGCGCAAGAGCGUGCGUGCCGAAGCAAACGCGAUAAGUGUACCGCCUGGGGAGUAUGCCCGCAAGGGUGAAAC